rnacentral:lncRNA from 10 species
CACGUGCAGAUGGUUGCCAUACAGGUAAGAGUUAAAUAGAAAAGUCUUCUUAAUACUGAAGUUAAAUUUUCCUUUUCAUUUUUCAUUGCCGUUAUAUUUGCAAGAAUCCUUAAAGUUGAUUGACUUUAUAAUGAUUACUGAAGCUUUUGCCUGAAAAUACUUUUAAAAUAUGAACUCUUUUGUGAGGCAUGACAGGUAAUCUUCUCAGAAAGAAGCUUGGGUCCAAUAAACAAUACCCAUCUUUGCUACUGAAAUUCUACACAGAUUGAGAAAUAAGACAGCAGGUGGAGCCAAAACGUCAUCCUAAGAAUUAAUAAAGGUGCUGGAGGAGAAGGUGGCUGUUUGUAGGAAAGUUCAAGUGCUAGCUGGAAGUGUAGCCUGCAUCACAGUGCCUUACCUGCCAGUUACAGGAGGGCCCACCUGGAGGCCUUCCAGCGUGGGGUGCCUGCCCCAUAGGACUUAGCGCAUGAAGGAGGAAGGGAAAAUGUGCUGGCAGCUCCUCAGAAAGAGAAGGAAAAAGGAAGACUCUGACCUACACAGGCCCAGCUUCUCCUGUCAAACCAGGGGAGGAAUGAGAAUGUUAAAAAGAGACAGCCAGGUAGAAACAAGAGGGAUGUGUAUGAGUUCUUUCCUAACAAGGAAGAGAUGAAAUCAAGAUUCUCCUAUGGUUGCCUUUAUAGGGUAUGAAUUCAUUAAAUCCUUAUUGAAUUGCCCCACUCAUUAUGUUUUCUAGGAAGCUUUGAAAAAAAUAGGUUAAGAGCAAUGGAUCAUAAUCAUUUCCAGAUAUGCUAAUUCUAAAUAACUUUCCUAAUAUACAUGUUUACGGAAAGCAUGGAACAUGAUCUAAAUGGGAAAAAAAACUUGAAAAAAUUGUGGGUGUGUUUUAAAGUGUUACUACUUGAUGGGCUUAUUUUACUAGAGCGAUUGAGAUAAAGUGAAUUUUAUUUUUUGUUUUGCCCACAGGUAUCUUGGAACAUAAUACACCAAGAAGUCAAUACUGAGCCAUAUAAUCCUUUUGAGGAACGACAAGGGGAAAUUUCACGGAUUGAAAAGGAGCACCAAGUAUUACAAGACCAACUUCAAGAAGUGUAUGAAAAUUAUGAGCAGAUAAAACUUAAGGGCUUAGAAGAGACCAGGGACCUGGAAGAGAAGUUGAAAAGGCACUUAGAAGAAAACAAGAUCUCAAAGACGGAAUUAGAUUGGUUCCUUCAAGAUUUGGAAAGAGAAAUUAAAAAAUGGCAACAG